GAAUGUUCCAUUGUCUGCAUCAAUAAUCCAAGCAGAGAUGUGCUGAUUCAGAAAUGUAUCAGCUAUUAAGAUGGAGUGAGGCUUCAAAUUUUAAUAUCAAAAACCAAAAAACCAGUCCAAAUGUAGAGAACAUUUUGGUUUGUGGAACUUCACAAAUGCAGCUUCGAAUUUGAAACUGGAAGAUCUGAUGGAAAGACAAGUACUAAAUGCUCAAGCUACUGCAUGAAGCCCUUUGACUCAAAGCACCAGUGAUCGAAGACAAGGUCCUGCCAUCCAAAAGGAUUGUGUACAUAGGGGAGAUUGAAAUUGCUCUGCUUGGUGAUGAUGGUGAUGGUGAUGACGAAGAUGAUAGCAUUUAUACAGUGCUUGUUAUGUUCUGAGCACUUUAUCAUUUGUAUUAGACAAGCUUCUUUAAAGAAACAGAACCGGUAGGAGAUAAAAAGAGAUUUAUUAUGAGGAAUUGGCUCAUGUGAUUAUGGACACUGAGAAGUCCCACAAUUUACUGACUACAAACUGAAGACCCAGCUGGUGGUGUAAUUCAGUACAAGUCCAAAGGGUCAGAGAAGAUGAGAAGAGAUGUCCCAGCUCAAGCAUGCAGCAGGAAGCAAAAAGGGCAAAUCCCUCCUUCUACCUUUUGUUCUAUUCAAGCCCUCAUUGGAUUUGAUGAUGCCCACCCACACUGGGGAGGGCAAUCUACUUUACGGAGUCCACCGAUUCAAAUGCUAAUCUCAUCUGAAAACACUCUCUAAGACAUACCCUAAAAUAAUGUUUAAUCUGGACACCCCAUGGCCAGUCAAGUAGACAUAUAAAAUUAACCAUCACAGAUUUCAUCCUCUCCACCACUUGUGAUAGAUUCUAUUACUAUUGCUAUUUCAUAGAGGAGGGCAUAAAAAUUAGAGACAUUGGAUAAGUUUACCCAGUAUCCCCUAAUGAGUAAAUGAUGGUGGUGGGAUUCAAACCCAGGGAGUCUGAUCUAAAGACAAAUGCUUAAUCACUACACAGAGAUUCUCUUUUUGUUAGAAAAACAGAGAUAAAUUUUUAUUGUGGAUGAUUAACAAAGAGAACUAUGUAUUCAGUGAAUUGUCAGGAAAAUUGUUGAAUUGUCAUGAGAUCAAUUCAAAUAGAUAAUGUUCCAGAAUUAUCCUCUUCCCUCCCUAUGUCCUACACUCACUGAAAGAUUUUAUUCACAUUUUCACACUGUCUUAAUCCCUUCCCCCACCCACUCCAUGAUAGUCAGGGCAAGGUAUAGUUCAUGUUUCUUCGAAUUGGUACAUUUCUUUUUUUAAGAUUUUAUUUUUUUAUUCAUGAAAGACACACAGAGAGAGAAAGGCAGAGACGUAGGCAGAGGAAGAAGCAGGCUCCGGGCAGGGAGCCCGAUGUGGGACUUGAUCCUGAGACCGUGGAUCACGCCCUGAGCCAGGGGCAGGUGCUCAACCGCUGAGCCACCCAGGCGCCCCUGAAUUGGUAUGUUUCUUGACAUGAGUUUUCUGACACAUCUCAUUUAUUUAUUUGAUGUGGCAGUUAGGAAACUCUGCAGUAAGUUUUAUGCCAUUUCUCAUAUAUUUUUUAGACAACUCAAUAAAUGAUAAUGUGUGUUUGGGGGGAUUUUAAUGUCUAUGUGGGUCAUUUU